rnacentral:rRNA from 1 species
CCUACGGGGGGCAGCAGUGGGGAAUAUUGCACAAUGGGGGAAACCCUGAUGCAGCGACGCCGCGUGAGUGAAGAAGUAUUUCGGUACGUAAAGCCCUAUCAGCAGGGAAGAAAAAAAGUCCUUUGGACUUUGGACGGUACCUGACUAAGAAGCCCCGGCUAACUACGUGCCAGCAGCCGCGGUAAUACGUAGGGGGCAAGCGUUAUCCGGAUUUACUGGGUGUAAAGGGAGCGUAGACGGCAGCGCAAGUCUGGAGUGAAAUGCCGGGGCCCAACCCCGGGACUGCCCUUGGAACUGCAUGGCUGGAGUGCGGGAGGGGCAGGCGGAAUUCCUGGUGUAGCGGUGAAAUGCGUAGAUAUCAGGAGGAACACCGGCGGCGAAGGCGGCCUGCUGGACCGCGACUGACGUUGAGGCUCGAAAGCGUGGGGAGCGAACAGGAUUAGAUACCCGAGUAGUC